rnacentral:rRNA from 1 species
GACGACGCUAGCGGCGUGCCUAACACAUGCAAGUCGAGCGGGAAGCUUUGAAUUGAGACUUCGGUUGAUUUUCAAAGUGGAGAGCGGCGGACGGGUGAGUAACGCGUGAGUAACCUUUCUCUCAGUGGGGAAUAACACAGGGAAACUUGUACUAAUACCGCAUGGGACCACGACCUGGCAUCUGGUUGGGGUGAAAGAUUUAUCGCUGAGAGGUGGGCUCGCGUCCGAUUAGGUAGUUGGUGAGGUAACGGCCCACCAAGCCGACGAUCGGUAGCCGACCUGAGAGGGUGAUCGGCCACAUUGGGACUGAGACACGGCCCAAACUCCUACGGGAGGCAGCAGUGGGGAAUAUUGGGCAAUGGGCGCAAGCCUGACCCAGCAACGCCGCGUGAGGGAAGAAGGCUUUCGGGUUGUAAACCUCUGUCCUAAGUGACGAAGACGAUGACGGUAGCUUAGGAGGAAGCCCCGGCUAACUACGUG